GCUAGCGACAGGCUUAACACAUGCAAGUCGAGGGGCAGCGGGGGUAGCGAUACCCGCCGGCGACCGGCGCACGGGUGAGUAACGCGUAUGCAACUUGCCUAUCAGAGGGGGAUAACCCGGCGAAAGUCGGACUAAUACCGCAUGAAGCAGGGGCCCCGCAUGGGGAUAUUUGCUAAAGAUUCAUCGCUGAUAGAUAGGCAUGCGUUCCAUUAGGCAGUUGGCGGGGUAACGGCCCACCAAACCGACGAUGGAUAGGGGUUCUGAGAGGAAGGUCCCCCACAUUGGUACUGAGACACGGACCAAACUCCUACGGGAGGCAGCAGUGAGGAAUAUUGGUCAAUGGCCGAGAGGCUGAACCAGCCAAGUCGCGUGAGGGAUGAAGGUUCUAUGGAUCGUAAACCUCUUUUAUAAGGGAAUAAAGUGCGGGACGUGUCCCGUUUUGUAUGUACCUUAUGAAUAAGGAUCGGCUAACUCCGUGCCAGCAGCCGCGGUAAUACGGAGGAUCCGAGCGUUAUCCGGAUUUAUUGGGUUUAAAGGGUGCGUAGGCGGCCUUUUAAGUCAGCGGUGAAAGUCUGUGGCUCAACCAUAGAAUUGCCGUUGAAACUGGGGGGCUUGAGUAUGUUUGAGGCAGGCGGAAUGCGUGGUGUAGCGGUGAAAUGCAUAGAUAUCACGCAGAACCCCGAUUGCGAAGGCAGCCUGCCAAGCCAUUACUGACGCUGAUGCACGAAAGCGUGGGGAUCAAACAGGAUUAGAUACCCUGGUAGUCCACGCAGUAAACGAUGAUCACUAGCUGUUUGCGAUACACUGUAAGCGGCACAGCGAAAGCGUUAAGUGAUCCACCUGGGGAGUACGCCGGCAACGGUGAAACUCAAAGGAAUUGACGGGGGCCCGCACAAGCGGAGGAACAUGUGGUUUAAUUCGAUGAUACGCGAGGAACCUUACCCGGGUUUGAACGCAUUCGGACCGAGGUGGAAACACCUUUUCUAGCAAUAGCCGUUUGCGAGGUGCUGCAUGGUUGUCGUCAGCUCGUGCCGUGAGGUGUCGGCUUAAGUGCCAUAACGAGCGCAACCCUUGCCACUAGUUACUAACAGGUAAAGCUGAGGACUCUGGUGGGACCGCCAGCGUAAGCUGCGAGGAAGGCGGAGAUGACGUCAAAUCAGCACGGCCCUUACAUCCGGGGCGACACACGUGUUACAAUGGCGUGGACAAAGGGAAGCCACCUGGCGACAGGGAGCGAAUCCCCAAACCACGUCUCAGUUCGGAUCGGAGUCUGCAACCCGACUCCGUGAAGCUGGAUUCGCUAGUAAUCGCGCAUCAGCCAUGGCGCGGUGAAUACGUUCCCGGGCCUUGUACACACCGCCCGUCAAGCCAUGGGAGCCGGGGGUACCUGAAGUCCGUAACCGCGAGGAUCGGCCUAGGGUAAAACUGGUGACUGG
rnacentral:rRNA from 1 species